UACAGAGGUCUCAAGCGUUGUUCGGAUUCAUUGGGCGUAAAGGGUGCGUAGGCGGUCUGCUAAGUUUGAUGUGAAAUCCCGGGGCUCAACCCUGGAAUGGCAUUGAAUACUGGUGGACUAGAGUACUGGAGAGGAAACUGGAAUUUACGGUGUAGCAGUGAAAUGCGUAGAGAUCGUAAGGAAGACCAGUGGCGAAGGCGAGUUUCUGGACAGUAACUGACGCUGAGGCACGAAGGCCAGGGAGCAAACGGG
rnacentral:rRNA from 1 species